ensembl:lncRNA
AGCACACACCGCGAGGCACUCUGCGAGGUUACCAGGGUGGCAGGAGCCACACUGGUCUCUGAGCCAAAGCAGACCUCUCAGCCGGCCGGCCAGCCCCCGCAGCCACCGCGCAGAGCCAGCGCCCCUCGGCGGCGGGGUCCCUAGGAAACGCCCUUCCUCUUAGGAGUAAGUCGCUGAUUGACAGACUUGCCGGGACUGUCUCCACGCAGCCAUGGUUCGGCGCGGACCAGGAGGGUUCUCUGUUUGUUGCCCAUUUCUGCCCUGCGAGACGCAGGGGACGGCCGUGGAACUAAGCAGUGCCUGUGGUGGCCAGGGCUGCUUCCCCACCAGCUGAAUGGAGUGCAAACAGCCGCACCCGUGUGGUGAGGCACGGCCCCUUGUCGAUGGAGGGGCUGGGGAAGCAGGUGUGAGAGGUGGCAGAGCAGAGGGUGGGGGAGAGGAUGUGCUUUGUCAAUGGACCUCGGCUUGGGACACGCACUAGAAGGAAGGGAACGCUGGCCAGCCAGGAAUCCAGGCGCUCCGCACCAGAAGGGGGAGCUCCCGGGAACUGUCCAGGGUGCUGGCCCACUGAGCCGUGGAGAUGCCGCUUCCCCUCUCCAAGGAGGCGGAGCCCGGCCUCCUCCCCGCAGAAUGGACGCGCUGUCCCUCCUGCCGCAGCCCUGUGUUUGGGCCCUGCGUGUUUUCAGUGGAGCCCAAACUGAUUUUGUUUACAGCUGCUUAUUCUUCUCCCAUCACCAGCCCUAACUUUACAAAACAGAUUGAUAAGCCAUGAAGCCAUGGAGGGUUUCAGCAUUUCAACAGGCAAGAACCGUGUUUUCAGGUCUCCUAGGGGGACAGGGCAAGCCCAGAAGCAGAGCCGCGUGGCAGAGCCRCGGAGGAGACGAGCGUGGCUGGUGUCCCAGGAGCUCAUGUCCCGGACAGCUGACCCCACAGAUGGCGCCCUCCUGCCUCCCACACCCUCUGUCCUGCGACCGUACCUCCUGCCCAGCACGGGCCAGCGGGCCGGCUGGUGGGCUGGUGGGGAGCUGCUUGGAAACGGGAACCGCGUCUGCUGUAUCUUUUUGUGUGGAAACACUGGGUUCAUCCAGACCACAGGGAAGCCCCCCGAGGACCACGAGCUGGUCAGCCUGAACCCCCAACACCUCACAUAGCCCGGCCCUGGCUCCCACGCCCUGCCUCCCGCCCGCACGCCUGGUCUCCCCUCCUCCUCCCUCCUCCACGCGGGUAGCUAGCAUCCACGACCUCUUGGAGAGCCAGGACCAACAGUCAUUCCUCUUGCCGCGGCCGGGAUGGGUGCCUUCUGUGACCACGGGUACCUGGUGUCACCAGGUCAGUGGGGUGAGGAAGAGCCACCUGAGGCCACGCCGUUAGAGUGUGUGCUUUUGCUUAUUGGUUUAUGUAUUGGCAUACGUGCUGGCCUAUUUAUUGAUGUAUGUGUGAUACCCAAGCUCCACUUCUGUCUUUGAAGCAUCAGCCCAGAAUUYGUCUUGUAGGUCCUAAAUAACAGUGAAUUAUUCCUCUCAGAAGCCACAGAAAAGAGGAGACAUUCUCUCCCUCUGCCCACGUACCCCCACUCCAGCCAGACUUCCCACCAGAAAACACCAGCUAGCGAGGCUGUCGGACCCCACGUCACAGAGGCUCCCCGUCUGGACAGGAGCCCCAGGGCCCUCCUGACCCGCCCUCCCCUUCAGCUCCUUCCUGACUCCGCGGGUCCUGGCUGUCCAGCUCCCACCCGGCCACCAGGAGCAUGGUGCUGGCGCUGCUCUGACGUAGCACAKUAACUCCAGAUGCAUCCAGAUGCAUCUGCGCCUGCUCUCCACCCAAACCAGUCGCGGCAGGCUGUCCCCGCGUGGUGGGCGGGCAUGGUGUCCCUCACUUACCAGGUGAUUCCGCUGUGAAAACAGGGCCGAGAAGUUCUUCCAGCUCUUCUCCCCUCGCCCCUCCCACCACUCAGGUCCCUGCCUCCCGUUCCCCGGCUUCCUCUGGAGUCCCCUCCUGUCCCCCCAGCCUGGCUCCCCACUGAACAUUCCCACCAGCCCAGCCAGCCUGAGCAGAUGCCUGGAGAGCUGGGCAGUGCCAGAGUCAUGCCCCGAGGCUGGCACCGGCCCUGCCUGAGCCUGCUCCCCGAGUUCAGCUUCUCUAGGAGCCAAA